rnacentral:rRNA from 1 species
GAUGAACGCUGGCGGCGUGCCUAAUACAUGCAAGUCGAGCGAACAGACGAGGAGCUUGCUCCUCUGACGUUAGCUGCGGCCGGGUGAGUAACACGUGGAUAACCUACCUAUAAGACUGGGAUAACUUCGUGAAACCGGAGCUAAUACCGGAUAAUAUAUUCAACCGCAUGGUUCACUAGUGAAAGACGGUUUUGCUGUCACUUAUAGAUGGAUCCGCGCCGCAUUAGCUAGUUGGUAAGGUAACGGCUUACCAAGGCGACGAUGCGUAGCCGACCUGAGAGGGUGAUCGACCACACUGGAACUGAGACACGGUCCAGACUCCUACGGGAGGCCGCAGUAGGGAAUCUUACGCAAUGGGCGAAAGCGUGACGGAGCAAAGCGGCGUGAGUGAUGAAGGUCUUCGGAUCGGAAAACUCUGUUAUUAGGGAAGAAGAAAUGUGUAAGUAACUAUGCAGGUAUUGACGGUACCGGAUCAGAAAGCCCCGGCUAACUACGUG